rnacentral:lncRNA from 1 species
CAAGUCACCGGUUUAAAUCCCAAAUCGAGAAAAAGAUUGACUCUGUUUUGCAGCCUGCAAACAUGGAAUCCGGGUAAGUAAUUUUGUUAACGCGAGAGAAGGUGUUAAGCAUUCUCGGGUUUCGUGGUUCUAUCACAGUCGCUCAACUAUUAUAAUUGGCAUGUUAUCGGAUUUUAAUACAUGUUUUAACCUUUGGUUCAAUUUUAACUUUAUAACCGCCUUUAUUAAAUAUAUUUUAGGAAGAUUCAACAUCACAUAAAACGCGUCUUGAACCACGUCACAUAAAUGCCCAUGCAGUCCACAACAUAUUUUAUCUAACGUUGUUGAGAUUUGGAUUUGGGUCACAUAAAUGCGCACCGAAUUUAAGAAAGUAAAAGAAAAUUAAUUUACAGAACGCGCCUAAAGCAACAAGCGUAUUUGAAUUAUUUUCCAAAUCUUUGAGGUUAUUGCAAAGAUGUGAAUUAUGAAUAGGAGAUUUUAGUGGAAGGAGUAGUACGAUACAACUAUUAUUAUCAUUAAGAGAAUCAAUUAUUCUAUAGAAUUAUUAAAAAUCAUAACUUAAUAAUAGUCCAUCUUACAAAAUACUUAGGGUAGAACUACAUUCUCACUAAUGUAAAUAAUAAAAUAAUCAAAUAAGGACCUACAAAACAUGGAAAAAUACUAAGGCAUGAUUUACAAAACAUUGUUGUCACGAAAUCGGAAGUUUCAAAAUCAAUAUCCAUUAAACAUGAUUUAAAGCUCACUUGAAUGUUCUCUUUAUCCAAACUAACGAAAAAUUAAAGCUAUAAAGAGUCAACUAUGGAUGAAAACUAAUGGAGAUCGGAUCGCAAUAAAGGGACAUUAACCGAUCAGAAUAUCAUGUAUAACCAAGCAAAACAGACAAAAAAAGAAAGCAAACAAAAUAUACAGGAGAAAAAAGAAAAGUGAACCUUAUAGCGAGAAGCUUUCCUCAUUGUAAUCCAACACUUUUAUCCCAAAUCUUUAUAUAGUACACGAUUUGAAAGGAGCAAAAACACGAGAAACUGACGACAAGAUCUGGACUACAAUACGCCUCGAACCGAAAACCAAGUCGGCGACCCCGACACCGACGAACUCAACUUUUGGAGCUGCUAUUAUUUUUUUGUGUGAGAAGGGGACUGUUUUCAGGUGAUUUUGCUAGCUGUUUUUGUUUGGUUUGGGAGGUGUUUGUGGAUUUUAAGGGUUGUUUUGUGAUAUCGUGCGAACUGAUUUUGAGGCCUUUUUGCUGGAUUUUCGUUGCUUUUUAGCUUCUGUUUUGGACUGAAUUUCGUUGGGGUUCUGGUGUGAUACAGAACUGAUUUAUGGACUAUUUUGGUGUAUUUUACUGCUGAUUUCUUGAGGUGAUUUAGAUGACAUCAAUCGUGAUCGAGUUAUAAUAGGAGGAGAUAUGAAGAUGAAAAAACUGCUGAAAUUAAAGAUGUGGAAAGAGAUUCCUUUAUGCUUCACAUUCCUAGGGGACUUGGAGAUCAAGAUGGUGAAGAAAAUCCUGCGUCCAGCAUUAAUAUUGCAGCUCUUGAGGCUCAAGGUGUCUAAAACGGCGGAUUCAAUAAUUUCAGGUGUUGAGGGGUCCCCGAUUGUAUGGAAAAAACACUUGUUAUUCUUUAGGUCUAGGUCUGAUAACGUUUAAUGGGGAAAGAGAUGGACUUGGAUUUAUGGGAACGGGGUCAAACCGAUUUUGGGCUAGGAUUUGGACGGGUUUGGGUAGCUUUUAGGCUUGAAUUUUUGGCUUAAUUAUGUGUAACAACCCAAAUUCGAAUUAAAAC